rnacentral:lncRNA from 1 species
AAGAGAAGGGUAUUAUUUAUAGUAGGAACAUUUUUUUAAAUGACUGUCUUGUUGACUUCCCAGUGGUAUAAUUUUUGUGGAUAGUGGUGUCCCUUUAUAAUGCUAAGGUUGAAGUCACCAGUCUAUUUAUAGAAGGAAGGAGGUAGUGAUAGAUGGAGGGGAAUUGGCCCAACAGUGUCUACGUUAUAUUUCCUGGGCAAUCUUCUGCUUCUGGGAAGUGCCGAUAUACUGAUGCCCAUGACUCUCAACCCUCCCUAAUAGGAAGGAGUUCAUCUGGAUCUGUGUAAUAAUGGGACCACAGGAAUAGAGCCACAAUGAAACUAGUUCAAUCCCAUCAUUUUACAGCUUUUCCAGAAGAUCCUGAAGAAAGUGAAUUUUCACCAGGAUGCCCCAAAUCCAAACCUAAGGUCUAUCAGAGGCACCUUGAAAAACUGGCAAUAGGAUCCAUCUACCCAUCCAGUUUUUCCUCUGGAUGUGGAUGGUGUAGAACUCAGAUAUUUUUAAUCCAAGAUAAUACUUUUUAAACUAGAUCACAUUAACUAUACAUUUUAUUUAUAAAUUUUAGAAAAGUAAAAUCGAGUGACAAUUAUGCCUCAAUGGUGAUUUUUCUUGUCACCAUCCUACAUUUCUUCUUCCACAACUACAUUCAUAAUUACUUGGAUACCUAUCUUUAUUUAUUUGGGGCCUUGGUCUUGGUUAGGGACUGUAAUCACCCUCAAGUAUCACUUGCCAUAAACAUACAUAUAUCAUUUUUCAUUCAAAUAUAUGCUCAAAUAAUUUUUAAGGUGAACAUAUAUUGAAUACCCAAUUAUAUUUAUUUUUAUUCAUCAGACUAGAGAAACUAAAAUUUAACUAAAUUUAUUUUAAUCAAUUUAAAAAUUGAGACACAUAUAUACAUAUGUCCUUUUUGGAGACAUUAAAGUAUACCCGGAAACAUAUUCAUAUUGCAUAGGUGGGAUGUAUGGGGUGCUCAGGGAGGAGUAAUACCUUUGCUAUGGAGGGCUUGUCGUGCCCUCCUAGGGCAGCUCUCCAGCCUUUGACCCUCACCUGACACCCAGCUCUCACUUGUGGCUUCUAGUAGCUGCUACCAUGCGGCAGCAGCCACACCCCGGGCAACGGCUUCGACAGGCCGGCUAAACCUUGUGAGGGUAGCCAUCAGGUCGUCGACCCCUGGUGAACUAGGGCUUUGCUCACCCAGCAUGUGAAGACUGUUUCGGCGGAACAGGCAGAAGAAACCAACAAGAAGGUUCAACGGCUGAGAUGGCGAUGCAGCAAGGCACUGUGGAGUGCUUAGGGCGUGUUGGAGCACA